rnacentral:rRNA from 1 species
CCCUUAGAUGUCCUGGGCCGCACGCGCGCUACACUGAUGCGUUCAACGAGUUCUUCCUUGGCCGAGAGGCCUGGGCAAUCUUUUGAACGCGCAUCGUGAUAGGGAUUGACACUUGCAAUUAUUUGUCAUGAACGAGGAAUUCCUAGUAAACGCAGAUCAUCAAUCUGCAUUGAUUACGUCCCUGCCCUUUGUACACACCGCCCGUCGCACCUACCGAUUGAAUGGUCCGGUGAAGCCUCGGGAUUGUGGUUCUUGCCGCUUUAUUGUGGCGUGACCGCGAGAACUUGUCUAAACCUUAUCAUCUAGAGGAAGGUGAAGUCGUAACA